CAACAUUGCCUGACUGCAGGGAUGCUGGUAUCAACUGGAGAUCUGGGGGCUUUUAAUCAGAGAAUUUGCAACUUUUAAACAGAGAAAAGCAGGAUCCCUGGUCAUCAACAUGCUCACUUGCUUCUCCAGGACUUGCAGAUGUUUCUUUGAUCAUAUUCACCUAGAUGAGAAUAUGUAUGGAUGGAGGGGAUGUGCCAGGAUGCAGGUUCAGGAAGUAGAUGAAAUGUGGCGCCAGCUUGAGAGUUAUGCCAGCAUUAAAUGAGCAUGAAACACAAUCAAGACACCAGACCAUAAAAGAUGCAUGUACGUCCCUGCUACUUUCUUGUGUUUAUUACUCCAGGGAUUUCCAGGAGACUGAUCUUGUUUUCUAAAAUCAGGAUCAGAUCUCUGGCUGAUGUCAGUGGUGCAGGAUCAACCCAUCUAUGUGGUAAUAAAUUCUGUAUUCAAAGUUCUGCAAUACUGAUAUACCACCUAGUGAAGAACGAAUGAUCUUUGAUGCAUGCAGGUCUCUACAUAGGUAGGGUUAAAAAUAAUUUCAUUUUUGACACAGUAAUAAAUCAUUAUGGCUUCUCUGAAUUGAAUUCCUUAUGGAAAUUUUGUGGGGGAAAAAGUUACUGCAAAUGUAGAAAUUUCAGUAACUCAACUGACUGUUCAUUUCUCUUUGGAAAUGGUAGCAGACAGUAGGGCAGACCAUGGACAAAUCCCUUGCCAACUGUCUGUCUGUCUGUCUCUCGUAAUGUCAAAACUAUUUUUAAUGAUAAAGCUAUUUAACAUGGUAAACUACGUUCUUUUUUCUUCUAAACUCACAGGACUUCAAACAGUUUCUCUUUCUCUCUUUCUUUCUGCAUGUGUUUGCAGAAGUGGUAAAAUAAAUGUGAUCUCAGGAUGCAGCUUAGCUUCAGGUUAAAGGGAAUGUUUAUGACCACACUGUAAACCCCUGGAACAUAGGGGUUUAGAAAGGAAAUGCUGGCACAAUCUUAACUACUGUAUAACACCAAAGUAAUCAUUCCCUCCAACUGUGACUAUGUUGUCAGUUCUAUGGAUAAAAAAGGUGUUGCCUAGUCUCAUGAUCGAUUCCCAUGGGCAACUGUAUGUUCACUUAAAGCAGGUCAGAAUACAUCUGGGUAAGUCCUCAAUAUUUCCCUGUGAAUCGCAGGCACAGGCUUGCUGACUCAUUGUUCAAAGAGCUUGAGCAAAAUUGCACACCUCCCAUUUGAAUAUCAUUUGAGGGGUUGGGCUCUAAAUCCUCAUUGUUUGAACUGUCAAGAUGGUUGAAGUGAUUAGCAAGCUGCUUAGUUUAAAGAGAAGCCUAUUUUAGGUGCCUUGAUUCUCUGCCAAUAGUUUGUCACAUUUAUUUGUUGUCUCUUUCUCUCCCUCUCGGAAGGGACUGCUACAUUUUCCCCAGCGGUGAUUAAAAAUGAUGUCAAAUUGCAUGACUAUCUGAAUCUUUCACAAUUGAUUAUUAAUAGAGUUUUUGAACAAAUAAAACUGAGUUAAUUAGAGCAUUUGUAAUCAGUCCUGUUCAACUAUAACACAUGCCCAUAUCUGAUCACAGUGUAACUUAAAGUAGACAUGGCAACAGUUGGAUGUCAACACAAUUCAAAAGAGCUUUGUUUUUAUAUAGCCUCAGUGCUCUAGUCUGAUCUUUUUGACUCACUUCACAUGUUUUGUCAUGUUCUGUUACUUGUCUACCUGGUUUAUUGAGUGCAUAUUCUCCUGUAAUUUUAACUUUUCUAGCCAGAUGCUCUGCUAAUUCAUUAUGAAGCAUGGAUUCAGAUUGUCACCUGUCCUAAAGCAGUAGAUCACUAUUAACUUUAUAGAUUAGGAGGUCCUUGGGGCUGGUCUUGCAUGCAAUUUUCUCACACAACAUUUAUGUCACACAACAUUUAAAUGAUGCCCAGGAUGUAUAUGUGUAUUUUUAUGUCUAGGUUUUGUAAGAUUCCCUUCACCAUGGCAUUCAUAUAUGUUAUAGAGUAACCUCUGAGAUAAUUCUGAGCAUGGUAUGAGCAGAUAUAACUCUGCUUCAUGGUGAAUAAAUUUUAAAAGGUUCAAAGUCUGGGUUCAGUUAGGCAAUGCAGUUUUCGGAGGUUUGUCUGAAGCUUACUGCUAGUUCCUUGAACAUGCAAAAUGAGUCUGGAAGCCUCACAAAAAUGUGGUUGUCCUUUUCCCUCCUACAUUCCAGUAUGAUCCUCGUGCAGCUUCUCCAGAAGUCUAUGCAGUGUUUCCUGAAUUUUAUUUUAAGCAUGUUUGGUUAAAAAAUAAUCAUCAAAAUCAAUUUUACAUUUCUGAAACCUUCAAAAAUGUUUUUAUUUGGGUUUAACCCUGAAAUGUGGAAAAUUGCAGCUAUGUUAAUUCCCUACUUCCAUCUUAGCUGAAACUUGAAUAUUUUGGAACAAGGGAUAUCACAGCAGCGGACUACUGGUAUUGUUGUUGUGACUGCUUGUUUUGAGGGGCAUCUAUCAUGCAGUGUAUUACAUGAAGGGAGGUAGAUUGCAGGGCCUCUAAAGAUGAGUCUGUUGCUGGCUCACUGAAUGAUACAGGAAAAAAAUCACUCUACCUCUGUUAAUCAGCUACUUCAUUUAUAUACCAACAGUUAUACUGAAUCACUUUUUGUAGAGAACUAAAACAUAUGGAAGAAAGCUGCCACAACAGUGUAAAGAGUUUUGUGUUAGUCAAGAGAAUUUA